CGUGGGGACAGAGGGGUCCCAGGGCCGGGAGGGUGGUCCCGGCGUGGGGACAGGGGGUACACGGCCUGGGGGUGGCUCAGGGCACGGCAGCGGGACACUCCCCUCCGCGACCGGCUCCCCCCUCGGUGUCCCGGGAAUUUUGGGGCCCCUUCCCGUUGCACAAUCGCCUUGAGCAGUUGGUGCCAUUCCUGAUGCAACACCACCACCCCCCAUCCCCCAGAAAACGGGGGGGCUGCCCACGGAAAACCCCCUCGGGAUCAGGCACCGGGAGAUCCUGGAAUUCCCAGCCCGGCACAGACGGGAUUGACCCUCGGGCUCAUUGUCCUGACCCUCAUCCCGCAUUAAAAAAAAAAUAAAAGGGAAUUUUCAUUGUGCUGAGGGGAAAAUUUCAUCUUCCUGCCUCUUUUAUUCCCUUUUCCCAGAAAACAGGGAGCAGGGAAAGGGCUCCGGGACGGAUCCCACACGGAGCACAAGGGCCCCGGUCCCCGAGGAGCCAAGAACUUGGGGCAACAUUUCUGAGCCUCGCUUUUGUUCCCACAUGGAAAACCCCCAGGGAUCCAUGGGAGCAGCACCUCCUUCCAGGAGGCAAAGGGCCCUGGGGGGCCCUCACUGUACCAGGGAUGGGAGAGCACCUGGGAAGGAGAUUCCAGCUGGGUGGCACCGCUUUGGGACACGAGGAUCCAAGUUUUCACGUGCUCUUGGCUUCCCCCUCCCAAAGGAAGCUGGUUAAUCCCACCAGGAAUCCCACCAGCAGGAAUGCUGAAGGAAAAAUGGGGUGCAAACUUUGGGGAAAGGGCUCCCAGCAGCCAGAGGGAAGGAAUGGGAGGAGAGAGGAGCUGGAAUGCCGUGGUUUGGAAAGGUCUGGUGUCUCAUAACCCGCCAGAAAUAGAAGCAAACCCUAUCCAGGGGCCUGGCUCCUCAUCUCCCACUGAUCCCACCCAAUCCAGAGGGGGCUCCUGCCUUUCCCACCCUAAAAGGAGCCCACAAGGAGCAGGUUUGGGGGAUCAGGCACCCCCAGGUCCUGGGCUCUCCCGGGGUUCCAGGGGCACAGCCAUUCCUGCAGGAUCCUGCUCUGUCCCUCCAGGGCAUUCCUGGCACUGCCCCAGGCCUGAUUUAGCAGCCCAGGAGCUGGAGAAUUUCCAUUCCUUCUAAUAUUACCGGGAAUGGCUGAAUCCAGGGGGACAGCGAGCCACCCAGGGGGGCAACCCAGGUCCCUGCUGACUCGGGAAGGGCAGAGAACACCUUCCAAACCAUGGAUUAGCUGGGAAAACACACCAGGAAGGCACCUCUGGAAGGCAAAACACUCCAGCUUCCCAUGCUGGAAGGGGCAGGAACAUCAGCUGUUGGCUUGGGAAGCCCUGAGCUGCUCCACCACCUCAUUCCCAGCUCCAGAAAGCCCUGAGCUGCUCAUUCCCGGCUCCAGGAAGCCCUGGGCUGCUCAUUCCCAGCUCCAGGAAGCCCUGGGCUGCUCAUUCCCAGCUCCAGGAAGCCCUGGGCUGCUCAUUCCCAGCUCCAGGAAGCCCUGGGCUGC